rnacentral:rRNA from 1 species
AAUCAACGCUGGCGGCGUGCCUCAGACAUGCAAGUCGAACGAUUAAAGCUCUCUUCGGAGAGUGUAUAGAGUGGCGCACGGGUGAGUAACACGUAAGUAAUCUACCUUUGAGUGGGGAAU